ensembl:lncRNA
CAAAAGGAGAGUCAAGAGUGACUAAAUCAAAGGGAAUACGGUAAAAAAAAAAAAAAAAAAAAAAAAUGGUAGGGGGGCAAAUUACACGUUGUAAUAAAUGUAGGGGAUAGAUUCGCGGAAUGGUGCAAUAACAACUUGUUUUUAGAAAAUGGAGGCGAGGACGGCAACAAGAACCGGAAAGCAACUAUUUCGCUGCCGAGAGGGAGCUCUUCUUCUUUCUUUUUUUCGCCGCUCACACAAAUAUGGUGGAAGAAAAGUUUUGUCGACAAAGGAGACAGCGGAAAGACGGCCGAAUGCGUUUUUUUUCUUUUCAGUUUAAUAAACAGAAUACAUGCAUUUUAUUAUCUAAAUGUUUAAACGGUGACAACACCGUAUAGUCGGAACUGAGCUUUGAUUUUGGGCGGCACGCACGCGGUGUUUUGACCAAAAACUUUUUCUUUUUUUAUUGCCAACUAAUCAAUAACUAAGUGGACAUUUCCGGGUUCACGCGGGAGUAUAAACGUGCAGCAGCCCCCACCACCACACCUCACUCAUCCACCACACUGGCUGCCCCGCGGGUCACCGCUUCAGGAGCACCACGUCACCACGUUAACCCCUGCAUCACCGCGUCCGCAAGCAGGGCCAAGAACCCCGUGGGCUUGUACAGAAGGAGGGAGGAGGGGAUCCUCAAAAACUGGGGUGCCGAGGACCUCCAGGCGCCCCGAAGGGCGGGUCCUGAGUGUCUCCAGCAGAAAUGAGGAACAGCAGCAUCACGCGGCCUGGCGUGGCCGGCCUCGAGAGUCAUGUGAUCUCCGGGGUGGCUUUUGCCUGGGAGAAGAAAAGGCAAGUUUGUGUCAAAAUCCAUUUUUAUUCCAGCUGGAAGGUCACAGGUCAUCUCAACUCUGAUGUAAUCAGAGUAAAAGUGAGUCGGCCCUUUUGUAGCUUGAGCUAUCUUACCCCUCUUUUCACUGUCGUUAAUACUUAUCUUUCAUUUCUUUGUAGCUUUUUGGCCUCC